AGGGUGUAAACGCUGCAGACUUGGUGUUGGAGGCCCUUUGGGGGCAUUCAGUGCCGGAGAGAAGUUGUUAAGUCUGCUACUUGGGAGUACGUCCGCAAGGAUGAAACUUAAAGGAAUUGGCGGGGGAGCACCACAACGGGAGGAGCGUGCGGUUUAAUUGGAUUCAACACCGUAAAACUCACCAGGGAAGACUGUUACAUGAAGGCCGAGAUGAAGACUCUGCUAGAUUUUCAGAGAGGUGGUGCAUGGCGUAGACGUCU
rnacentral:rRNA from 1 species